ensembl:lncRNA
ACAUUUAUCGUGGACUUUAUUUCUUAUUAUUACAUUAGGCAUAGAUCCCAGAGGCUGGGGAUGCCUGCUCUAGGACAAAGAGGCUGUAGGACAAACCGAACCAUAAUUUGGUUUAGGGAUGCACUAGCCGCCUUGGGGCUCCCAAGACUCAAGUGGAGGUUAUUGGGGGUUCUGGAAAUGAAACUUGUUGACUCUGCCAAUGAUGCUACCAGAAAUGCUCCUUCCUGUCUUUGGGCUGAUGAAUUAAUAUUGGGGUGAAACUUGGAACUCUGUAGAAAGUCUGCUUCAACCUGAAGGCAGAGUCGAAAUAGGACAAGAAGCCUUUGAUGUAAUCCUCAGGGUGUAUUUCACAGCUGGUUUGAUUCAGCAGAUCAUUUCUCAACCUUCUUGUUAAUGAGCAAACAAGCUUCAUUAAAGCCACGUUGAGCUGGGUUUCUCUCAUCUCCCCAGUCCUCCAUGCUGGAAACCUCUUCUGUAUCCUGCUCCUCACCGGCUACGUCCACUGGCACUAGGGCAUUCAUUCACUUGCUCACUCACUCAUUCAGUCACAUUUUUGAGUGCCCUGAUCUAGGAUCUACUGAUACAGGCAGGCCCCUGUGCUGCGUCUCUGCCAUGUCAGUAGUGAGAGACGGAUCGAGUUACCAGGACACGCAGUGACUUCAGACAGGGUGACGGGAUAGAGGGUUGGGCAGCCGCUCCUUUAAAUCACAAGGUCAGGAACUGGCUCUCUUGUGCGGGGACACUGACGUUAAAAAUGGAACGAGGAGCAAAAGGAAAAGGAAAGCAUUUCAAGCUGAGAAAACAAGUACCAAGGUCCUGAGGUUGGAUGAAAGGAAGGAGGGCAGCUGAGCAGCCUCUCCUCCGGACAGCAGACGGCUCCUGUGGGGGAGCCCCUCCCUGGUGGACGGUCCCUCAACAGGGUGCUGAGCAGACAGCGGCUUGGGCCUCAGCCCAGUUCGAGGGUCCUUACCUGCCACAUCCGCCAGAUGGGAACUCCUAUCACUGACUGCCCAACUCCAGUUAGGUGUCCACGUUGAACGGCCUCCAUAAACCACUCAAACCCACACCUCCAAACCCAUGAAUAUCCUCUCUUCUCCCAUCUGCAUGAGGAUAUUCUUUAUUGCAGUGAAGAACGGGUCUCACU